UACGUAGGGGGCAAGCGUUAUCCGGAUUUACUGGGCGUAAAGGGAGCGUAGACGGCAGAGCAAGUCUGAAGUGAAAGCCCGCGGCCCAACUGCGGGACUGCUUUGGAAACUGCCCGGCUAGAGUGCUGGAGAGGUAAGCGGAAUUCCUAGUGUAGCGGUGAAAUGCGUAGAUAUUAGGAGGAACACCAGUGGCGAAGGCGGCUUACUGGACAGUAACUGACGUUGAGGCUCGAAAGCGUGGGGAGCAAACAGG
rnacentral:rRNA from 1 species